CCUACGGGUGGCUGCAGUGAGGAAUAUUGGUCAAUGGGCGUAAGCCUGAACCAGCCAAGUCGCGUGAGGGAUGAAGGUUCUAUGGAUCGUAAACCUCUUUUAUAAGGGAAUAAAGUGUGGGACGUGUCCUAUUUUGUAUGUACCUUAUGAAUAAGGAUCGGCUAACUCCGUGCCAGCAGCCGCGGUAAUACGGAGGAUCCGAGCGUUAUCCGGAUUUAUUGGGUUAAAAGGGUGCGUAGGCGGACUGUUAAGUCAGCGGUAAAAGCCCGGGGCUAAACCCCGGCGAGCCGUUGAAACUGGCGUUCUUGAGUGGGCGAGAAGUAUGCGGAAUGUGUGGUGUAGCGGUGAAAUGCAUAGAUAUCACGCAGAACUCCGAUUGCGAAGGCAGCAUACCGGCGCCCUACUGACGCUGAGGCACGAAAGCGUGGGUAUCGAACAGGAUUAGAUACCCCAGUAGUC
rnacentral:rRNA from 1 species